rnacentral:rRNA from 1 species
AGCAGUAGCCAUAUCACCCUGUAGCCCAAGACUGGUUGCCAACUGAAGCUAAGCAGGGUUGAGCCUGGUCGGUACAUGGAUUGCAGACCUGCUGGGAAAACUAUAGGUUGCUGCUGGAA